rnacentral:rRNA from 1 species
AUUGAACGCUGGCGGCAUGCCUUACACAUGCAAGUCGAACGGUAACAGGUCUUCGGAUGCUGACGAGUGGCGAACGGGUGAGUAAUACACCGGAACGUGCCUAGUAGUGGGGGAUAACUACUCGAAAGAGUGGCUAAUACCGCAUGAGAUCUACGGAUGAAAGCAGGGGAUCGCAAGACCUUGUGCUACUAGAGCGGCCGAUGGCAGGUUAGGGUAGUUGGUGGGAUAAAAGAUUCCCAAGACGACGAUGUGUAGCUGGUCUGAUCGGAAGAUAAGCAACGCUGGGACGGAGACGCGGCCCAGACUCCGACGGGAGGCAGCAGGGGGGAAUGUUGGAGAAUGGGCGCAAGCCUGAUCCAGCAAUGCCGCGUGCAGGAUGAAGGCCUUCGGGUUGUAAACUGCUUUUGUACGGAACGAAAAGCCCUGGGUUAAUACCCUGGGGUCAUGACGGUACCGUAAGAAUAAGCACCGGCUAACUACGUGCCAGCCGCCGCAGUAA